rnacentral:tRNA from 1 species
GGCGUGGUACCCAAGAGGCUAAGGGAGUUGUCUGCAAAACAACUAUUCACCGGUUCGAGCCCGGUCCACGCCUCCA